GACGAACGCUGGCGGCGUGCCUAAUACAUGCAAGUAGAACGCUGAAGGAGGAGCUUGCUCUUCUGGAUGAGUUGCGAACGGGUGAGUAACGCGUAGGUAACCUGCCUGGUAGCGGGGGAUAACUAUUGGAAACGAUAGCUAAUACCGCAUAAUAGUAGAUGUUGCAUGACAUUUGCUUAAAAGGUGCAAUUGCAUCACUACCAGAUGGACCUGCGUUGUAUUAGCUAGUUGGUGAGGUAACGGCUCACCAAGGCAACGAUACAUAGCCGACCUGAGAGGGUGAUCGGCCACACUGGGACUGAGACACGGCCCAGACUCCUACGGGAGGCAGCAGUAGGGAAUCUUCGGCAAUGGACGGAAGUCUGACCGAGCAACGCCGCGUGAGUGAAGAAGGUUUUCGGAUCGUAAAGCUCUGUUGUAAGAGAAGAACGAGUGCGAGAGUGGAAAGUUCACACUGUGAC
rnacentral:rRNA from 1 species